rnacentral:misc_RNA from 1 species
UCUCCGUUGGUGAACCAGCGGAGGGAUCAUUAUAGAGUUUUCUAAACUCCCAACCCUUUGUGAACUUACCUUUGUUGCCUCGGCGGGUGCUGGGUCUUCCCAGCGCUCCAGCCCGCCGACGGCCCACAACUCAUUGUCUGAUUUAUGCAUCUCCGAGCCAUACACAAACGAAUCAAAACUUUCAACAACGGAUCUCUUGGUUCUGGCAUCGAUGAAGAACGCAGC